rnacentral:lncRNA from 1 species
UUUACCUAUGAUAAACAGGUAUCUUGAAGCCUACUUCAGAGUUUAAUUAUUUCUUAUUCACAUGAACCUCCCCCUUAUGGAGAAGAUGGCAAACAGGUACUGCCAUAUUCCUUAUUGCCAAGUCUUCCAGCAGCAAAUAAAAAUCAUGCAUCUGUUCUUCCUUUCCAUUUUAUCUUUGCUAUUGAAACACACUGGCAGCAGAGAAGUUUUAUUUGGUCAUAAUAAUUUCACAGAAUAUCAAGUGGGCAACAUGAACCUGAUCCUCUCUGUCCCACAUGGUGGGUCAAUGGAACCUGAAGACAUCCCUGAUCGAGAGGCUGGCUGUUGGGAUGCAGAGACAUCUUCUUGUAUUUUCUCUCAUGACUGUCCUCCUGGAAGCAUUCAAGACUAUAAGAACUGCAAAGUGUCUACCAACCAAGACAGGUAUACCAUAGAAGUGGCUCAGGUUCUUGCUGAAGAAAUCAACAAGAUUACUGAUGGCUUCUUCCCACAUAUCGUUAUAAAUCACCUACAGAGGUUCAAGAUGGAUGCUAACAGGGAAAAGGAAGAAGCUGCCUUUGGAAUUCCCCAAGCAGAACAGGCCUGGGAGGAUUAUAUGGGAUUUUUGACCACUGCAAAAUCACUGAUGACAAGGGGCCUGAUUCUAGAUAUCCAUGGACAAGCACAUCCUGAACAGUGGAUAGAACUAGGCUACACAGUUUCAAAAACUUCCCUUAACUCUGGUGUCUUUUCUGCGUCAUGUUCCUCCAUUAGAUAUCUGGCCAAUCAGCUAGUUAGCGUGUCUUUUGAGACUCUGCUUGCAGGGAACAGAAGUUUGGGUAAAUAUAUUGAAGAACAAAAUAACAGUUAUGUUUGUGUGCCUUCUCCAUCCAAUCCUAGCCCCAGUAAUGGGAACUAUUAUAGUGGUGGAUACAUAACAAAGACUUUUGGCUCCCGUGAUUCUGGUGCCGUUGAUGCCAUUCAGAUGGAGCUACCCCAGUGGGUUAGGGCACCUGAAGAGCGUCUCAGAUUCUGUAAAGCAUUAGCAAGAGCUGUAAUGAAAUUCUGGCAAACUAAUUACUGUAGCCAGUCCAACCAUGAAUUUCUGCCAUGCUGA